rnacentral:rRNA from 1 species
AGAGUUUGAUCAUGGCUCAGGACGAACGCUGGCGGCGUGCCUAACACAUGCAAGUCAACGAGAAAGGGGUAGCAAUAUCCCGAUUAAAGUGGCGCACGGGUGAGUAACACGUAGGUAAUCUGCCUUUAGGACGGGGACAACCUCGAGAAAUCGUGGCUAAUACCCGAUAAUGCAGCGGCACCGCAUGGUGACAGUUGUUAAACCCCGCAAGGGGCCUAUAGAUGAGCCUGCGUCCCAUUAGGUAGUUGGAGGAGUAAAAGCCCCCCAAGCCAACGAUGGGUAGCUGGUCUGAGAGGAUGACCAGCCACACUGGAACUGAGACACGGUCCAGACUCCUACGGGAGGCAGCAGUGAGGAAUAUUGCGCAAUGGUCGAAAGGCUGACGCAGCGACGCCGCGUGAAGGAUGAAGUCCGUUAGGAUGUAAACUUCUUUUGCGGGGGACGAACGAGGCGCUACAGGCGCCUGUGACGGUACCCCGUGAAUAAGGAUCGGCUAACUACGUGCCAGCAGCCGCGGUAAUACGUAGGAUCCGAGCGUUGUCCGGAAUUACUGGGUGUAAAGGGCGUGUAGGUGGGCUUCUAAGUCGGUGGUGAAAUCUUGCAGCUUAACCGUAAAAUGGCCAUCGAAACUGGAAGUCUUGAGUACGGCAGAGGGAAAUGGAAUUCAUGGUGUAGCGGUGAAAUGUGUAGAUAUCAUGAAGAACACCGGUAGCGAAGGC